CAGAGUUGAAAAACUCCCCUAAACCAUUGUGAACCUACCACUAAACAGUUGCUUCGGCGGGUGGGCCCUCCCCAGGAGGGCCCCUCUGACCGCCCGCCGGAGGUACCCAAAAACUCUUGUUUAAUUAAAAGGCCUCUCUGAGUACUGUACUUAAAUAAGUCA
rnacentral:misc_RNA from 1 species